rnacentral:rRNA from 1 species
CCUACGGGAGGCAGCAGUGAGGAAUAUUGGGCAAUGGAGGAAACUCUGACCCAGCAACGCCGCGUGAAUGAUGAAGGUCUUCGGAUUGUAAAGUUCUUUUCUAAGGGAAGAAGAAAGUGACGGUAACUUAGUAAUAAGCCUCGGCUAACUACGUACCAGCAGCCGCGGUAAUACGUAGGCGGCGGGCGUUAUCCGGAAGUACUGGGCGUAAAGGGGGCGUAGGGGGGUUGGCAAGUUAGUAGCGUAACUCCAAGGCUCAACCUUGGAACUACUACUAAAACUGUUGUACUUGAGUGCAGGAGGGGCAACCGGAAUUCCUAGUGUAGCGGUAGAAUGCGUAGAUAUUAGGAGGAACACUAGUGGCGAAGGCGGGUUGCUAGACUGUAACUGACACUGAGGCACGAAAGCGUGGGGAGCAAACAGGAUUAGAUACCCUGGUAGUC